rnacentral:rRNA from 1 species
GACGAACGCUGGCGGCGUGCUUAACACAUGCAAGUCGAACGGAAAGGCCCUGCUUUUGUGGGGUGCUCGAGUGGCGAACGGGUGAGUAACACGUGAGUAACCUGCCCUUGACUUUGGGAUAACUUCAGGAAACUGGGGCUAAUACCGGAUAGGAGCUCCUGCUGCAUGGUGGGGGUUGGAAAGUUUCGGCGGUUGGGGAUGGACUCGCGGCUUAUCAGCUUGUUGGUGGGGUAGUGGCUUACCAAGGCUUUGACGGGUAGCCGGCCUGAGAGGGUGACCGGCCACAUUGGGACUGUGAUACGGCCCAGACUCCUACGGGAGGCAGCAGUGGGGAAUAUUGCACAAUGGGCGGAAGCCUGAUGCAGCAACGCCGCGUGCGGGAUGACGGCCUUCGGGUUGUAAACCGCUUUCGCCUGUGACGAAACGUGAGUGACGGUAAUGGGUAAAGAAGCACCGGCUAACUACGUG